rnacentral:rRNA from 1 species
AUAGGCGAGGAAUCCUGGAAUGGUUCUUCACCCAAAGGACAUUGGAAACAUGCUUUCUCUGUCGCCUGGGGAUGGGGCCGCGACCGAUCAGGUUGUUGGUGAGGUAAUGGCUCACCAAGCCUUUAACCGGUACGGGCCAUGAGAGUGGUAGCCCGGAGAUGGGUACUGAGACAAGGACCCAGGCCCUACGGGGCGCAGCAGUCGCGAAAACUCCGCAAUGCACGAAAGUGUGACGGGGCUACCCCGAGUGCCGUCCGCUGAGGAUGGCUUUUCCUUGGUGUAACUAGCCGGGGGAAUAAGGAGAGGGCAAGACUGGUGUCAGCCGCCGCGGUAAUACCAGCUCUCCGAGUGGUAGGGAUGAUUAUUGGGCUUAAAGCGUCCGUAGCCGGCUUAGCAAGUUUCCUGUUAAAUUCAGCGACCUAAUCGUUGAGCCGCGGGAAAUACUAUUAGGCUAGGAGGCGGGAGAGGUCGACGGUACUUCUGGGGUAGGGGUGAAAUCCUAUAAUCCCGGGAGGACCACCAGUGGCGAAGGCUGUCGACUAGAACGCGCUCGACGGUGAGGGACGAAAGCUGGGGGAGCGAACCGGAUUAGAUACCCGGGUAGUCCCAGCUGUAAACGAUGCGGGCUAGGUGUUGGGGUGGCUACGUGCCACUUCAGUG